UACAGGGGGGGCAAGCGUUGUUCGGAAUUACUGGGCGUAAAGGGCUCGUAGGCGGCCAACUAAGUCCGACGUGAAAUCCCAAAGCUUAACUUUGGAACUGCGUCGGAUACUGGAUGGCUUGAAUUCGGGAGAGGGAUGCAGAAUUCCAGGUGUAGCGGUGAAAUGCGUAGAUAUCUGGAGGAAUACCGGUGGCGGAGGCGGCAUCCUGGACCGACAUUGACGCUGAGGAGCGAAAGCUAGGGGAGCAAACGGG
rnacentral:rRNA from 1 species